rnacentral:tRNA from 1 species
ACCUGGCUGGCUCAGUGAGUGGAGCACGCGACUCUUGAUCUCGGGUUGUGAGUUUGAGCCCCACGUUGGGUG